UGACGUUAGCGGCGGACGGGUGAGUAACACGUGGGUAACCUACCUAUAAGACUGGGACAACUUCGGGAAACCGGAGCUAAUACCGGAUAAUAUGUUGAACCGCAUGGUUCAAUAGUGAAAGAUGGUUUUGCUAUCACUUAUAGAUGGACCCGCGCCGUAUUAGCUAGUUGGUGAGGUAACGGCUCACCAAGGCAACGAUACGUAGCCGACCUGAGAGGGUGAUCGGCCACACUGGAACUGAGACACGGUCCAGACUCCUACGGGAGGCAGCAGUAGGGAAUCUUCCGCAAUGGGCGAAAGCCUGACGGAGCAACGCCGCGUGAGUGAUGAAGGUCUUAGGAUCGUAAAACUCUGUUAUUAGGGAAGAACAAACGUGUAAGUAACUGUGCACGUCUUGACGGUACCUAAUCAGAAAGCCACGGCUAACUACGUGCCAGCAGCCGCGGUAAUACGUAGGUGGCAAGCGUUAUCCGGAAUUAUUGGGCGUAAAGCGCGCGUAGGCGGUUUUUUAAGUCUGAUGUGAAAGCCCACGGCUCAACCGUGGAGGGUCAUUGGAAACUGGAAAACUUGAGUGCAGAAGAGGAAAGUGGAAUUCCAUGUGUAGCGGUGAAAUGCGCAGAGAUAUGGAGGAACACCAGUGGCGAAGGCGACUUUCUGGUCUGUAACUGACGCUGAUGUGCGAAAGCGUGGGGAUCAAACAGGAUUAGAUACCCUGGUAGUCCACGCCGUAAACGAUGAGUGCUAAGUGUUAGGGGUUUCCGCCCCUUAGUGCUGCAGCUAACGCAUUAAGCACUCCGCCUGGG
rnacentral:rRNA from 1 species